rnacentral:lncRNA from 1 species
GACAACAUGGGCAUGAGCCGGAUAAGGGGUAGGAGUAAGGUUUGCAUACAUAUUACCUUCCUAAAACCCCACCUGUGAAAAUAUAAUGGGCUCUGUUGUUAUUAUUGUUGUUGAUGCCCAACCCAAAUGGCUCUUCACCACAAAAUCAUGAUUUUGUAUGACUCUCCAUUUUCCUUAUAUAAACAUGUUUUGAGAAGUUUUAAC